rnacentral:lncRNA from 1 species
UCUAGUUUGAUCCGGUACACAAAAACAUUUUAACCAAGUACCAAAUAAGGAAUUAUAGGAAAGUAGUCUAACUUAGUACAUAAAAUCUCUUUAGUUAAGGCAUGUGCAUUGUAAUAAGUAAAAGCAUUACUUUCAAUUUUUAGGCUUUUCGUCACAGUUUAUUUCGUUGGAAAACGUUUUCAUGUCGGAUAUACAACUGUUAGGUAUUUGUUGUUGAAAAAAGCAUAAAAAAAGUUUCAUGCAAUUUCAUU